rnacentral:rRNA from 1 species
AGUGAACGCUGGCGGUAGGCCUACACCAUGAAGUCGAACGGCAGCACAGUAAGACUUUGCCGUUACGGGUGGCGAGAGGGGGACGGGUGAGGAAUACAAAGGAACCUUCUUUUUUGGGGGGGAUUACGUAGGGAAACCUAAGCUAAUACCGGAUACGACCGACGGGUGAAAGCAGGUGGUCUUUGUACCUUGCGCGAUUGAAUGACGCGAUGUCGGAUUAGCUUGGUGGUGGGGUAAAGGCCCAACAAGUCGACGAUCCGUAGGUGGUCUGAGAGGAUGAUAACCCGCACUGGAACUGAGACACGGUCCAGACUCCUACGGGAGGCAGCAGUGGGGAAUAUUGGACAAUGGGCGCAAGCCUGAUCCAGCCAUACCGAGUGGGUGAAGAAGGCCUUCGGGUUGUAAAGCCCUUUUGUUGGGAAAGAAAAGCAGCAGGUUAAUACCCAGCUGUUCUGACGGUACCCAAAGAAUAAGCACCGGCUAACUUCGUG